UUAUACGACGCAACAGCCAAAGGCCGCUCAUCACCCCAAGGCACCGAUACCAAGGACGGCUCCAUGUAGCAAACGACAGCAUUACCCACCGCCUCCGCUCCGCAGGCUCGCUUGGAUUCCGGCUGCAGGUCAAAAUCUUCCAGGACAGAGUAUGUCAUCUGCAACAGCUCACAGAAUCCUACGACCCCUUCUUGUCGGCACAUUCAUCCUGGGAUGCUUUGUGACUCUUUUUUUGAUGUAUUUUAAACCCUCCACCGGCUGGCUAUCCGGUCCCGUCGAGUCAACGGCAUCCACAGAGCGGGUCAAAGGCAUCUUCUACGCCAAGAGUGAUAAAAAUGUCACCACGGUACUCAUCUGGCUGUGGCCCUUCGGACAGACCUACGACCUGAAUGUGUGCGGCUCGCUCUUCAACAUCGAGGGCUGCUUUAUCACGGCCGACAGGAACCUCUACAACAAGUCCGACGGCGUCCUCAUCCACCACCGGGACAUCUGUUCGGACUUGUCCAACCUCCCCCCACUGCAGCGUCCGUCCUUCCAAAAGUGGAUUUGGAUGAACUUUGAGUCUCCGUCGCACUCCUCUCAGCUCUCCGGCAUCGAGAAUUUGUUCAACCUGACCCUCAACUACCGCCGGGAUGCCGACAUCGAAGUGCCUUACGGGUCCAUCGUGGCCGCAGAGGGCGAGGAAGACUUUGUCCCGCCCAGCAAAAACAAGCUGAUCUGCUGGAUCGUGAGCAACUGGAACCAAGAGCACGUGCGGGUCAAGUACUACAACGAGCUGUACAAACACAUCGAGGUCCACGCGUAUGGACAAGCCUUUGGGGAGUACAUCUCCGACCAGGACUACUUCCCCACCAUGGCCAGCUGUAAGUUCUACCUGGCUUUCGAGAACUCAAUCCACAAGGACUACAUCACAGAGAAACUCUACAACCCGCUUGCUGUGGGGACGGUGCCCGUGGUGCUGGGCCCGUCGCGCCAGAAUUACGAGAACUUCGUGCAAGGGGAUGCCUUCAUCCACGUAGACGACUUCUCUUCGCCCAAGGAGCUGGCCGACUACCUGCUGCUCCUGGACAAAAACGAGGAGAUGUACCUCAGGUACUUUGAGUGGCGGCGGCACUUUAAAGUGAAGAAGGCAUUAUUCUGGGCCGAGCACACGUGCCUGGCUUGUGACUACCUGCGCAGGCACAGGGAGUACAAGACGGUCAACAACCUGGACAAGUGGUUCUGGGGCUGAGACAGCUUUGCUGGACUAUGCAGAGUCGGUGUCACUGAGCUCAUUAGAUUCACGUUUCAUGCCAAUUUUGCCAAGCCUUAUUUGAUUUUUUUUUUGCCUUUUACAUUUGCUGUAUUCCCUGCGAAGUCACGUCCGUUCCGUCCGUGGCUCCAUAUGCCUACGGUACCGCAACAUUUGGUUCUCUAGCCACACAGAACAAGACCCCGACUGAUUUUAAACAACUCUUGAACGAAUCUCAGGGCAUUGAAUCGAUCGCAACUGGAUUGUUCAAGUUGUCUCAGAAGAUGUUUCGCCUCUCAUUCGAGCUAGCGCCAUCCGUUCGUGCUCAAGACUUGACAGAACAGCUUGUUGCAUUUGAUUCAUUGCCCUGAGAGUCUGAUGACCUGGAUGGAGGAGAAGAUCCACAGACAUGACUUCAAAUAUAUCAUGUUGACAUUUAAGCACAUUUUUGGGAGUGGGAAUUUGAUCAACUUUUACAGAUCACAGUUGCAUGGCUCAGGUGGUAGAGUGGUUGUCUCCAAACGUGAAGGUUUGCUGGUUCGUUCCUCGUUCCUCCUUUAAGGGGCAAGAUGAUGCAGCCUCAGCAGUUAGUAACUGUGGUAAAGUUCAACCUACCUUGGCUUGAACGUAAAAAAAAAAAGUGCUAUACGGUCCCAGAAAUUAAUUAAUUCAUAAAUGAUGGCGGGCAGCACGGUGGUCUAGUGGUUAGCGCGCAGACCUCACAGCUAGGAGACCAGAGUUCAAUUUCUGUGUGGAGUUUGCAUGUUCUCCCCGUGCAUGCGUGGGUUUUUUCCGGGUACUCCGGUUUCCUCCCACAUUCCAAAAACAUGCUAGGUUAAUUGGCCACUCCAAAUUGUCCAUAGGUAUGAAUGUGAGUGUGAAUGGUUGUUUGUCUAGAUGUGCCCUGUGAUUGGCUGGCCACCAGUCCAAGGUAUUUUUGACAACACGAUUGCAGCACUGGCAUACGACACGUAAAAAUGAUCAAUGCACCAAACAAAAGGCAGACGCACCCGGCUGAAGUAAAUACUACAAUCAAAUUAGAAACUUAGGUGCGCGUAGAAGAGGGUGUAAAAGUGAUGAAACACAGGACAGACCAACACAGGAAAAACUACAAAAUAAGAGCACGAAAGCAGGAACUAAGGCAGACAACGUGAAACACAAAAACUGUCACACAAGCAACGGUGCAGAUUGUGACAGAAUGAACUUUUUGAUAACUUUGAAGGUAAAAACGAGCUAAUCAAAGGAAUAAAAGACCAUCGUGAUGUGAACUCAAGCGGAGGAAACAUAAGUGAAGGACAUAACUGCAGUGGUAUACUUUUACCUCGCUUUCCAUGCGGCACCGGAAGUCACAUUCAUGGUAAUAACUUCCAGGGUGUCACGUUCGCGCUUGCGCUAUGCGAUGCGACGCCAGGAUGCAGAGAGCAGGACCAAUAUGCAGGUAAAAGGAAUUUAAUGGCACUUAAACUAUGCAUACAGCAACUACCAGGCAAACCAAACACAAAGACAAUGAAGCCACAAACGAAAGAGCACACACCUGAACUAAAUAGGGAGUGUGAAAUUAGAGACAGGUGUGUGAAAUGAGUCUGAGAGAAAAACGGAAGGGAACAAGAAAGGAAGUAGUUACAAAAAUAAGGGCAUGGAAACCGGAACUGAGGCAAAGAAGGAAACUAAGAGAGCUGUGUAAGGAUCACUUCCAAAUGUGCAAACCUCUGGGGCUGGGAUGCAUCAGGUUUUCCAAAAAAAAAAAACAAAAAAAAAAAAAACAUUUAUUAAAAACAGAAAAAUGAAUAAACUUUGCUUUGGUUCUGAUUUUCUACAAGAAAAGCUCUGAUAAAACAUUCCACUGUUCUCAAAUAUCUUACCUUUUAUUUUUCUAUACAAAAUAAGAUCAAGAAUAAAGAAAAUCAAUCAAUCAGUAAUAAAUAAAUAUAAUAAUAAUAAUAAUAAAACGGCAAAUAAUAAAAACUUAAGAAACCACAUAUAGUUGGUGGGUAGACAAAUGAUUUUUUUCAGAUUAAAAUGAACAAAGCAUUAUUAGAGCCCUGUAGACAUGACAAAACACGACUAUAGUCACAUUUAUACUCUUUUUAUUUACAACAUAUUGCGCAACUGCAGGGUCUUGAGACACAUGCUAACUCGCAAACUAGAGAGCUAGCGACCUAAACGGUAGCCUUCAAGUUAUUUCCUUUAAACUUAAAUAGCCAAAAACUUACCACUUCCACACGGAUCGGGAGGAUAACUAUUAACAGUUAUUUAACCUUUAACAUGAACAUUAAUCAAACGUAAUAAUUUUUUUGGGUACAUGAUACCAUACAGCAUCCAUAUCAAACUUGUGCUUGAGCUGUCACGAGGGGGUGAAGCCCGCUCGUGACACAAGGAUCACUUCCAAAUGUGCAAACCUCAUUAUUCGAAACUUUGGCGUCAUUUAACACGAGAAUACAAUAUUCUAACUACAUUUAUAGGUCAGAAAAGUGAAAAAAAAACAAUCAUAGGUCCCCUUUUACCUUUUCAAAACGUCCGCACUCUGGAUGUCUUUAGUGUGUAGAUGUUGACGGUGUUCCUAGCGUUCAAAGUUUUGGAUUGUGCCAAUGAAGCGGGUGAUUUUAUUAAUGAAGUAGAAGGAGCCAGAACACCAUCGGAAUGAACAUUUGUGGUUUAUUCCUGGAUAUUCAAAGCGAUAAAAUGUGUUCUGUUUGCACAUAAUGUAGACGUGUCGGCAUGACUGUUGGAUAAGAUCUCUGCAUACGAGUAUUUCCACAGUAUUUUAAAUGAUGCUACUUAAGCUGCUGCUGUAGCAUGUAGUGCAUCUCAAAUGUACUUUCCACGACACACACACACAGUGCAAUAUAAUGCGUGUGGGGGUAAAAAUAGAUGGUCCAGAAAGCCCAGAUAAGUGAUUGAUGAUAGCAAGGAGAGUGUGUUGUGGUGGUUACGCCUCAAUCCUCGAACCUGUUGUUAGUUACGCCCUAACCCUCGCAAGCACUCUAGUAUUUCCACUCCUUUACGCUCGUCUUUGCCUUGGCCGGAGUCAAAGUGUGUGAUAGCAGGAUCAGUGAUGUCAUUAAUCCACUGAUGUCAUUUGAGGAUUAAUGGAAGGGGUCAGUUGACUCGGGGAGGGAUUGUCCCGAUAGUUUGAAGGAGUCAGCGAAGUGUCAGUAAGUAGGCGGUUGCCUUUGGGUCUCGAGCACAAACCGAAAGUGUCACAAACCUGGUAUAUACAGAUACCGAGGUGUGUUGUUCAUUGACUGACUGUUUUAUCUCUUGUGUCUGUCCAUCAAUCCGUUCAUCAGUCCAUCCAAAAACAUUGAGCCACCAUUUAAUCAGCCAAUAUAUCUACCUGACUUCUUAUCUACCCAUCCCAUCUCACACAUCGACCUACCUACCCUAUCUGGCCAGCCAUUCACGGGACAAACCACACUACCUAGCUAUCUAUUGGCCAACCCAGCUCCGGUACUCAUCCGUCCGUCCAUCCAUCUGCCAAACCAACCGACCUCACAUACAUAUCCACCUACUCGUCUACCAACUCAUCUGUCCAUUCGUCUAUAGCAGGGGUCUCAAACUCAAUUUACCUGGGGGCCACUGGAGCUAGGGUCUGGGCGAGGCUGGGCCGCAUCAGGUUUUCAAAAAAAAAAAAAAAAAAAUGCAUUUAUUAAAAACAGAAAAAUGAAUAAACUUUGCUUUGGUUCCGAUUUUCUACAAGUAAAGCUCUGAUAAAACAUUCCACUGUUCUCAAAUAUCUUAAUUUUUAUUUUUCUACACAAAAUAAGAUCAAGAAUAAAGAAAAUCAAUCAGUAAUAAAUAAUCCAAACGAGCCUGCGGAGCGGAGGCGGUGGGUAAUGCUGUCGUUUGCUACAUGGAGCCGUCCUUGGUAUCGGUGCCGUCGGGUGAUGAGCGGCCUCAAAGAAAAUCUAUCAAUCAGUAAUAAAUAAAUAUAAUAAUAAUAAUAAUAAAACGGCAAAUAAUAAAACUUAAGAAACCACAUAUAGUUGGUGGGUAGACAAAUGAUUUUUUUCAGAUUAAAAUGAACAAAGCAUUAUUAGAGCCCUGUAGACAUGACAAAACACGACUAUAGUCACAUUUAUACUUUUUUUAUUUACAACAUAUUGCGCAACUGCAGGGUCUUGAGACACAUGCUAACUCGCAAACUAGAGAGCUAGCGACCUAAACGGUAGCCUUCAAGUUAUUUCCUUUAAACUUAAAUAGCCAAAAACUUACCACUUCCACACGGAUCGGGAGGAUAACUAUUAACAGUUAUUUAACCUUUAACAUGAACAUUAAUCAAACGUAAUAAUUUUUUCUGGGUACAUGAUACCAUACAGCAUCCAUAUCAAACUUGCGCGGGCCGCACUAACAUUAAACUUUCAUAUCAAGGUGGGGGUCUCAAACUAGUGUCCUGCGGGCCACAUUUGGCCCACGGGCCGCGUGUUUAGACUCUAUAGACUCUAUAGAAAUGUCAGAAGGAAUGCGCAGCCUACCUGUUUGCCCAUCCCGCCGCAAUUUACAAAUGACUCAUCAGUCCGUCGAUUAACCAAUCCCUGUAUCUAUCUGUCUGUCUGUCUGUCCAUCCGUCCGCCAGACCAGUCAAUUUGCCUUUUUGCUUUACUGACUUACCUUCUUGUCUGUCCAAUCUAUGUGGCUACUUUUCUACCAACCAAAUCUGUCCAUUCGCCUGUGGGACCGUCUGUACUACCUAUGUGUAGAACCAACCAAACUACCUCUUAGCAUCCACCUACCUGCCAAGAUCCAAAGGUGUCCAAAACCGUCCAAACACCCUCCAAACCUUUCUUUCUGUAUCUUGAUUAACCAUUGACCAAACUCCCGAAACGUACGACUACUGACCAACAUAUCCAUGUUGGGAUGUCCAGCCUACCUGUUUGCCCAUCCCGCCGUAAUUUACAAAUUACCCAUCAGUCCAUCGAUGAACCAAUCCCUGUAUCUGUCUGUCUGUCUGUCCGUCCGUCCGUCCAGACGGUCCCACAGACGAAUGGAUAGAUUUGCUUGGUAGGAAAGUAGCCACAUAGAUUG